rnacentral:rRNA from 1 species
UACGGGGGGAGCAAGCGUUGUUCGGAUUUACUGGGCGUAAAGGGCGCGUAGGCGGUCGUGACAAGUCACUUGUGAAAUCUCCGGGCUUAACUCGGAACGGUCAAGUGAUACUGUCGGACUAGAGUACAGAAGGGGCAACUGGAAUUCUCGGUGUAGCGGUGAAAUGCGCAGAUAUCAGGAAGAACACCCGUGGCGAAGGCGGUUCUCUGGGACGGUACUGACGCUGAGACGCGAAAGCGUGGGAGCGAACAGG